rnacentral:rRNA from 1 species
CCCUGCUUCCAGGAAAAGCCUCUAAGCAUCAGGUAACAUCAAAUCGUACCCCAAACCGACACAGGUGGUCAGGUAGAGAAUACCAAGGCGCUUGAGAGAACUCGGGUGAAGGAACUAGGCAAAAUGGUGCCGUAACUUCGGGAGAAGGCACGCUGAUAUGUAGGUGAAGUCCCUUGCGGAUGGAGCUGAAAUCAGUCGAAGAUACCAGCUGGCUGCAACUGUUUAUUAAAAACACAGCACUGUGCAAACACGAAAGUGGACGUAUACGGUGUGACGCCUGCCCGGUGCCGGAAGGUUAAUUGAUGGGGUUAGCGGUAACGCGAAGCUCUUGAUCGAAGCCCCGGUAAAC